rnacentral:rRNA from 1 species
ACGAACGCUGGCGGCGUGCCUAAUACAUGCAAGUCGAACGAAACUUUCUUACACCGAAUGCUUGCAUUCACCGUAAGAAGUUGAGUGGCGGACGGGUGAGUAACACGUGGGUAACCUGCCUAAAAGAAGGGGAUAACACUUGGAAACAGGUGCUAAUACCGUAUAUCUCUAAGGAUCGCAUGAUCCUUAGAUGAAAGAUGGUUCUGCUAUCGCUUUUAGAUGGACCCGCGGCGUAUUAACUAGUUGGUGGGGUAACGGCCUACCAAGGUGAUGAUACGUAGCCGAACUGAGAGGUUGAUCGGCCACAUUGGGACUGAGACACGGCCCAAACUCCUACGGGAGGCAGCAGUAGGGAAUCUUCCACAAUGGACGCAAGUCUGAUGGAGCAACGCCGCGUGAGUGAAGAAGGUCUUCGGAUCGUAAAACUCUGUUGUUAGAGAAGAACACGAGUGAGAGUAACUGUUCAUUCGAUGACGGUAUCUAACCAGCAAGUCACGGCUAACUACGUGCCAGCAGCCGCGGUAAUACGUAGGUGGCAAGCGUUGUCCGGAUUUAUUGGGCGUAAAGGGAACGCAGGCGGUCUUUUAAGUCUGAUGUGAAAGCCUUCGGCUUAACCGGAGUAGUGCAUUGGAAACUGGAAGACUUGAGUGCAGAAGAGGAGAGUGGAACUCCAUGUGUAGCGGUGAAAUGCGUAGAUAUAUGGAAGAACACCAGUGGCGAAAGCGGCUCUCUGGUCUGUAACUGACGCUGAGGUUCGAAAGCGUGGGUAGCAAACAGGAUUAGAUACCCUGGUAGUCCACGCCGUAUACGAUGAAUGCUAGGUGUUGGAGGGUUUCCGCCCUUCAGUGCCGCAGCUAACGCAAUAAGCAUUCCGCCUGGGGAGUACGACCGCAAGGUUGAAACUCAAAGGAAUUGACGGGGGCCCGCACAAGCGGUGGAGCAUGUGGUUUAAUUCGAAGCAACGCGAAGAACCUUACCAGGUCUUGACAUCCUUUGACCACCUAAGAGAUUAGGCUUUCCCUUCGGGGACAAAGUGACAGGUGGUGCAUGGCUGUCGUCAGCUCGUGUCGUGAGAUGUUGGGUUAAGUCCCGCAACGAGCGCAACCCUUGUUGUCAGUUGCCAGCAUUAAGUUGGGCACUCUGGCGAGACUGCCGGUGACAAACCGGAGGAAGGUGGGGACGACGUCAAGUCAUCAUGCCCCUUAUGACCUGGGCUACACACGUGCUACAAUGGACGGUACAACGAGUCGCGAGACCGCGAGGUUUAGCUAAUCUCUUAAAGCCGUUCUCAGUUCGGAUUGUAGGCUGCAACUCGCCUACAUGAAGUCGGAAUCGCUAGUAAUCGCGAAUCAGCAUGUCGCGGUGAAUACGUUCCCGGGCCUUGUACACACCGCCCGUCACACCAUGAGAGUUUGUAACACCCAAAGCCGGUGGGGUAACCGCAAGGAGCCAGCCGUCUAAGGUGGGACAGAUGAUUGGGGUG